rnacentral:rRNA from 1 species
GUAACUGCGCGGCCUACACAUGGCAGUCGUACAUGAUCACUAAGCUUGCUUAGCGGAUUAGUGGCGAACGGGUGAGUAACACGUGAGUAACCUGCCCUUGACUCUGGGAUGAGCGUUGGAAACGACGUCUAAUACCGGAUACGACCUUCGGAGGCAUCUCCUGGGGGUGGAAAGAUUUUUUGGUCAAGGAUGGACUCGCGGCCUAUCAGGUUGUUGGUGAGGUAAUGGCUCACCAAGCCUACGACGGGUAGCCGGCCUGAGAGGGUGACCGGCCACACUGGGACUGAGACACGGCCCAGACUCCUACGGGAGGCAGCAGUGGGGAAUAUUGCACAAUGGGCGAAAGCCUGAUGCAGCAACGCCGCGUGAGGGAUGACGGCCUUCGGGUUGUAAACCUCUUUUAGUAAGGAAGAAGAACUUCGGUUUGACGGUACUUGCAGAAAAAGCACCGGCUAACUACGUGCCAGCAGCCGCGGUAAUACGUAGGGUGCAAGCGUUGUCCGGAAUUAUUGGGCGUAAAGAGCUCGUAGGCGGUUUGUCGCGUCUGCUGUGAAAACUGGAGGCACAACCUCCAGCCUGCAGUGGGUACGGGCAGACUAGAGUGCGGUAGGGGAGAUUGGAAUUCCUGGUGUAGCGGUGGAAUGCGCAGAUAUCACGAGGAACACCGAUGGCGAAGGCAGAUCUCUGGGCCGUAACUGACGCUGAUGAGCGAAAGCAUGGGGAGCGAACAGGAUUACAUACCCUGGUAGUCCAUGCCGUAAACGUUGGGAACUACAUGUA